rnacentral:rRNA from 1 species
UACAGAGGGCCCAAGCGUUGUUCGGAUUCACUGGGCGUAAAGGGUGCGUAGGUGGCUUGGUAAGUUUGAUGUGAAAUCUCCGGGCUUAACCCGGAAAUGGCAUUGAAUACUAUUGAGCUGGAGGUUUGGAGGGGGGACUGGAAUUCUCGGUGUAGCAGUGAAAUGCGUAGAUAUCGAGAGGAACACCAGUGGCGAAGGCGAGUCCCUGGACAACACCUGACACUGAGGCACGAAAGCUAGGGGAGCAAACAGG